GCUGCGCCUCCUCCGACAGUUCCA
rnacentral:siRNA from 1 species